AAUAUAUGGAGUUGUCAGUCUCAAACUAGAUUCAUAGAGGAAAUUCAAUCUUCUUCAACUCGGGAUUAUUAGUUUUCUCAUCUAGAGCUUUCUCAUGUCUUUCUCUAUAUGCUGAUUAAGUCUGGAAUGUUUGAGCUUUAUGUAGAUCCAAGUUCUAUGAGGUAAAUAUUGAAUAUUGACCUAGAGUUUUCGCAUUUUGAUUUUCUUACUAAGUUUCAGUUUGUUUUGGCUAAAUUAAGAAUGAUAAACAGAGUCGUACAAAUUAAACCAUCAGAUGUAAGUCAUAGGGCUAUAUCCAUUUCAAAUCGUAUGCACUGACGAAGGUCAAGGGGAAACAAUGGUCAUCAAGGACAAUUCAUUCAUGUCAUCACAUGCCCCUAAAUGCAUCGAAGAAAUUUUAGAAAUGGUGGUACCUACUAAGAAGGGUGAAGGAUUUUUUUUAUACCUAGUAGCCAAUAACCCUAAUUAUAGAAUUACUACUUGGGUUUUGCAUCCUACAGGCUAAGCGAUGCGAUUCACUACAUCAAAUGGUGAACACCAGGGAUACACAAUGCUGAUUGAUCUUUAUUUGCUUGACUUUCUUCACAAGAUCAACUGUUCCCAAUGUCUUCAGAUUUGGAGGGUUUGGAAGGACACGGGAGCAGAAGAUCUAGAGCUUCAGCUUGGGUCAAGAGAAUCUUGAUCAAAGAAGUAGCAGUAACCAAAGAGAUGCGGUAACCAUUGAAGCCCAAAGAACUAACAUAAUGUUGGAACCUCAGCAGAGUAGGAGAGACUUGGAGUAGAGGCUGGGAGGUGCGUCAAGCAGUAGGUAGGUUCCCCCUGAAACUGAAGAGGUUAAGCUGAAGUGCAUGAUCAGAUUGGAUUACAUGAAGGAGGAGACAUCAACCUUAUGUGGACAUCUAUUUUGCUGGGAAUGCAUCAUGAGAGCCAUAUGGAGGGAUGGAAGAUGCGCUUCUUGCCUCAUGCCACUCUCUAGAGCUACCGUACACCGUGUCUUCUUUCCCAGACGAGCUUGAUCAUUAAAUAUGAGAAUGAUAGAGACCUAAACACAUUCGUCCCACCAGACCCACAGUAGCGGGAGCCACGUGCACUGGAUUGUAAAGAGAGUUUUCUUACCUUUGAUUAAAUACAUUUUAAUUAUUUGUUAAUUAAGCUUAUUUUUGUGAACGAUAUGUUGAUAGAAAAUUUAAAGUUUUGAAUUAAAAUUUUUUUCGUACCAAUUAAUUAUUA